AAACUAGGAUUAGAUACCCUAUAUUUUAGAAUUUAAAAAUUGUUAGUAAACAUUACUUGCGAAAACAAAAAAUCAUGGCGGUAUCUCAAACUUAUCAGAGGAAUUUGCUCUUUUAUGGAUAAAACACCAAAAUCUUACUAAAAUUGGUAAGCAGCUUGUAUACCACUAUAAAAGUGAUAUUUUAUUAAUAUCACUUUAAUUUUUUUAAAAAAAAUAAAUUAAGUCAAGGUGCAGCAAAAAUUUUUGAAUGAAGUGAAUUACAUUUCUUUUAAGAGAUAUAUAAAAUAUGAAAAUUAUAAAUUUAGGAUUUGAAAGUAAAUUUUUAAUAAAAUGAUUAAUUGAAAAAAGUUCUGAGAUAUGUACAUAUCGCCCGUCACUCCUAUAAAAAUAAGUCGUAACAUAG
rnacentral:rRNA from 1 species